UAAGCAUAUUUUCUGGUGCUGAGUGAAAACCCUUGAUUACAUCUUUGCCUUGAUAUUGUACCAGUGGCAGCUGUCAUUCAGGGAACAGAA
rnacentral:snoRNA from 1 species